AAUUAGCUAUUUUAAACAUGUGACAAGUGGUAUGACACUGUAUUGAUGUAUGUGAAAUGUAUAGAGUCUUUCAGUUAUCAGAUAAUGUCAAGGAGUUCCUUCCGAUUUAAAGUGCGAACCUGUGUACGAGUAACAACAGUAUUCAAAACCAAAACCUAUUUAAACCAACCAAACCAAAACUAGCGACCAAAAUCUAU
rnacentral:lncRNA from 1 species